UUAGUUAUCUUGGCUGGAGCUG
rnacentral:miRNA from 1 species